rnacentral:rRNA from 1 species
UACGAAGGGGGCGAGCGUUGUUCGGAAUUACUGGGCGUAAAGGGCGCGCAGGCGGCUCUGAAAGUCAGAUGUGAAAGCCCCGGGCUUAACCUGGGAAUUGCAUUUGAUACUCUGGAGCUUGAGUACGGGAGAGGAGAGUGGAAUUCCCAGUGUAGAGGUGAAAUUCGUAGAUAUUGGGAAGAACACCGGUGGCGAAGGCGGCUCUCUGGACCGUAACUGGCGCUGAGGCGCGAAAGCGUGGGGAGCAAACAGG